rnacentral:rRNA from 1 species
UGCAGUCGAACGGUAGCACAGAGAGCUUGCUCUCGGGUGACGAGUGGCGGACGGGUGAGUAAUGUCUGGGAAACUGCCCGAUGGAGGGGGAUAACUACUGGAAACGGUAGCUAAUACCGCAUAACGUCGCAAGACCAAAGAGGGGGACCUUCGGGCCUCUUGCCAUCGGAUGUGCCCAGAUGGGAUUAGCUUGUAGGUGAGGUAACGGCUCACCUAGGCGACGAUCCCUAGCUGGUCUGAGAGGAUGACCAGCCACACUGGAACUGAGACACGGUCCAGACUCCUACGGGAGGCAGCAGUGGGGAAUAUUGCACAAUGGGCGCAAGCCUGAUGCAGCCAUGCCGCGUGUAUGAAGAAGGCCUUCGGGUUGUAAAGUACUUUCAGCGGGGAGGAAGGGAGUGAGGUUAAUAACCUUAUUCAUUGACGUUACCCGCAGAAGAAGCACCGGCUAACUCCGUGCCAGCAGCCGCGGUAAUACGGAGGGUGCAAGCGUUAAUCGGAAUUACUGGGCGUAAAGCGCACGCAGGCGGUCUGUCAAGUCGGAUGUGAAAUCCCCGGGCUCAACCUGGGAACUGCAUUCGAAACUGGCAGGCUGGAGUCUUGUAGAGGGGGGUAGAAUUCCAGGUGUAGCGGUGAAAUGCGUAGAGAUCUGGAGGAAUACCGGUGGCGAANGCGGCCCCCUGGACAAAGACUGACGCUCANGUGCGAAAGCGUGGGGAGCNNNAGGAUUAGAUACCCUGGUAGUCCACGCUGUAAACGAUGUCGACUUGGANGUUGUUCCCUUGAGGAGUGGCUUCCGGAGCUAACGCGUUAAGUCGACCGCCUGGGGAGUANGGCCGCANGGUUAAAACUCAAAUGAAUUGANGGGGCCCGCACAAGCGGUGGANCAUGUGGUUUAAUUCGAUGCAACGCGAAGAANCUUACCUACUCNUGACAUCCANNGAANUNNNCAGAGAUGCUUUNGNUGCCUUCGGGAACUNNNANNNANGNNCUGCAUGGCUGNCGUCAGCUCGUGNUGUGAAAUGUUGGG